ensembl:lncRNA
UUCCUGUGUGCAAACAGGUCCCAAGAUGCAGCCCCUGUGGGUGAAAGCUGGACUGGGUGUCUCAUCCUCGACCUCUCAUGUUUUUUAAACCACAGAUGACUUUUGACAGUGGCAAAGCCAGAGCGGGUCCGGAGCGCGGCCGUGGUGCGGGUCGGCGUGCCGGGCAGCGGCUGUGGCGCUGGGAUCCUGCUCGAGCCGGGCCUGCGGCUGCAGAGUUUAUUUUUGUAUUCUGCGUGAGCCGGGACUCGCGGCGGGAGCCGUGCGCCGCCGGCUCGGACUCGCACUUUGGUUUAAUUGCAUCUCCCCCUCAUCUCCUUCCUCCUCCUCCUCCUCCUCACCCAGCCUCCGCGAGAGGCGAGUCCCCCUCUCUGCCCGGGCUCCCCGYGUUUUGCAGGGCCAAGUUUUCCCUCCUCCUCCCUUUCAGCAGGUGCCAGGCCGGGGCAGCGGGAGCCCGGCUGCCCCCGGAGGUGCUGGGGCGUGCGCGCGUGAGCCCCCCUUCCCCGCUGUGCCGGGGGUCUCCCUCUUCCUUCCCGGGGGCUGAGCCGCGCUUCCCGCGGAGGCUGGCCGGGAAGGCAGAGCGGACACCCCACGGCCGAAAGCUGGUGUUGGGCCGCCCGGGGGGGGCCAGGCCUCGCUUGCCUUCCUGGCGCCUCGCGGAGGCGAGUGGCUCCAGGGCGCUGCCCCAGCCCCGGAGCGGGGAGCCUCCGGCCCCGCCGGCCUGGUGGGAGAUGGCAGGGAGCAGGGAAGGCAGAUGGAGAUGGGGACGACUGCCGAGGGUGCUGGCGCAGCUCCUUCCCCCGGCAGCUGGGAGCUCGGACCCGGGCGACGGCAGCUCUUCCCUGCUCCUUUCCCUGGGCCGCGUCUCCCUUCUCGGAGCUUUUCCAAAGCCUGUUCCUAAGUUGGGGUUUGUUUCCUUGUCCUCGAGGCUGAAGUUGAGCCUCAGCUCCCCGGGGCGGGGUUUGCCGUCGGCUCCUGGCCGUGUCGUGCCUGGUUUUCCCACCGUAGCUCAGGAGAAGGGGCAGGAUCGGGGGGGGGGCAGCAGUGCAGCGGGACCUGCCGGGGGCCGCCAGGGCUUGCUCCGCACAGCCCACGUCUCCCGGCCUCGGGGCUGCGGGAGAACCAGGCUGCUCCAGCCCCCYGGGAAGACACAGAGCGAGCCAGGAGGGAGGCUCCUGUCCCAGCUCCCUCACCUGCCUUGCCAGGAGGAGGACGGGGAGCGCCAUGGUGAACACGAAGAGCAUGGAAAGAUGGCCAGGACCACGCAGUCGCUGGAGAAAUUGUCCGGGAUGUCCUUGGAUGGCUGYGAAGAGGCGUCUUGCAGAAGGAAAGAAACAAGCCGAGUUUGCGCCCAGCUAGCCGUGCGUGCUCGUAAGCAAAACAGCMGCUUCAGCAGAGGCUUUCAAAAUCCAGCCCUGUCCUUCAGUAACUUGGCUUAGAAAGCAAAAGCAUCAACAAACGGUGCUGUAACGAACUCCCAAAUAACACACGAAUCUAAACCCAUCACUGCAAGGACACGCCGUGAAAGAGCGAGCUGCCUCCCCCACGUAGGAAGGACCCACCGCUGCUUCGGCUCUGCUCCGCGGCAGCRUUACCGUUCAGAGCAAACUUAGGCGAAGCAGGGAGGCGACUCUGCUGGCCACGGGCCACGUCUCACAGCUGAGAGGAGACGUGUCCCCAGGCACCUCGUGUAACUUGGGCCCUGCUUCGGCUUGGGCAUUGGACCAGAYGACCUCCAGACGCCUGUUUUCUGUUCAGCCGCUGGCCAACGGUACCAGCACCACCUGCUUCCCCGUGGGAUCUCACGGCAGAACCAGGGGGUUGGUUUGUAGGACCUCAGCAACCCUCUGCAGUUACUGUCAAUUCCCCGUUCAAAUAUCUGAAAGGAAAGGUACCUCCGUCUCUCUUCCUAACCGCUCUCUGCUGAACCUUGGAGCUAUAACCCGUCUUAAAAAUGUGUAGGUAUCCUGCCCACGUUUUACACUGAGGAAUAACACAGUGCCCUUAGCUUGAGCGUGGGAAUUGAAUCUCCCUAAAUUUGGGAAACGAGCCACCGUGUUCUAACACCGCUCRGCAGAAGAAGACCUAUAAUUUCUGCUAAGUUACUCUUUUACGUCUGUGCUUCCCUUUGCUUGAUCAUUCCUAGAGAAGCACACGCUCUGAAAUAUUUUUGUCGACAAGUUCGCGCGCGCGCGGGGAAUGCAACCUCUGCGGGGUGACGCCAUGAACCCCAGCUAGGCACGAGCGUUGUGACUAGCCUAGUCCUGCCCCAAACUUUUUUUGGAGAAUUGUGUGGGUUUUUUGUGUUUUUUUUUUCUUGCUCAUCCUGUUCUGCAGGUACGCAGAUAUUAAUAACGAGCACGGUUUAAAAACAAGUUUAGCUCUAGCUUAAAAAUUAAAUUGGCAGACGGCUGCGGCUGAGGGGGGGACGCUGCCACC